rnacentral:rRNA from 1 species
GAUGAACGCUAGCGACAGGCCUAACACAUGCAAGUCGAGGGGCAGCAUGAAAGUAGCUUGCUACUUUUGAUGGCGACCGGCGCACGGGUGCGUAACAGGUGUGCAAUCUGUCCAUAAUCGGGGAAUAGCCCAGCGAAAGUUGGAUUAAUGCUCCAUGUGAGUUUUAGAGGCAUCUCUUUAAUUUGAAACGCAAGGAUUAUGGGUGAGCACGCUUCUGAUUAGGUAGUUGGUGAGGUAACGGCUCACCAAGCCGACGAUCAGUAGGGGUUCUGAGAGGAAGGUCCCCCACAUUGGGACUGAGACACGGUCCAAACUCCUACGGGAGGCAGCAGUGAGGAAUAUUGGUCAAUGGACGCAAGUCUGAACCAGCCAAGUCGCGUGAAGGAUGAAGGUUCUAUGGAUUGUAAACUUCUUUUGUCUGAGGGUAAAAAAGCGGACGUGUCCGUUCUUGCAAGUAUCAGACGAAUAAGCAUCGGCUAACUCCGUGCCAGCAGCCGCGGUAACAC